GUCUUUGUAGUAUAUUAAAUACAUUGGUCUUGUAAACCAAAAAAGGAGAACAACCAACCUCCCCAAGACU
rnacentral:tRNA from 2 species